UUUAUAUGCUAAAUAUAUCCUUUAAUUCUGUGUGUGUGUGUGUAUGUGUGUCUGUGUAUGCUUUUAUAGGCGUUACUGGAAGAACAGAGAUAACCCAUGUGGAGUAAUAGUAUGGAAAUAUCCUGAAACUCCUUCAGAGUCUAAAUAAACUGACUGGAUUGGAGUUUCACAAGCAAGGAACCUGGUCCAUGGGCAAUUUGCUGCAGGUACCAGAGCUGCAGUUUGCCUUUCUCUGGAUCGCAACCUUGGAAGCAGUCCCCAAGUCCCAGGCUGGGAAACAAGAGAGUGGCCUGACCCCCUGGGAGGGUAGAGAUGGCCUGACUGGAAGUUUCAAGAGUCAUUUUGGGGAGUGGCAAGGAGCCAAGGAACACCCUUUCUCCUCUGUGUCUUUGGAACACCCCAUUUCUUCUUGUGAAGAUUAUAUGGUGUAA
rnacentral:lncRNA from 1 species